CAGUGUCACUGCUGCUUACCGGGAAGAAGAGGGGGAGGGGCAAGGUGGCAGGGAGUUUAGUGUGGUGCAAAUGCACCAGCAGAGUGCUCCUGAUGGUGCAUUUGUAUUAUGCCAGCCUCCUUGUUCCCUUCCAUCCUCCCUCCUUGUAAGCAACAGCAACUCA